GCCGCAAAUGAUAACGAGAAAAAUAAAUAUUAAUAUAUGAAAACCAUAAAGAUAAGAAACCACCAACAUGACAUCUCAUAAUUUUAUUUCAAGAUGGUCAUGACAUUAUUUCUCAUCAUAAAUCAUAUGUAAUGCUUGCUCAUGGCUCUGUCAAGGUACGAGAUCGCUUGCAUCCAGGAGCACAACCUUUUUGGCAUUGUUCUAUAGUUUGAAAGCAAUCACCUCCUAGGUCGCAGCAGUAAACUGCAUUUAUCCGUGAGCAUGUGCACAUUUGGACCUUGUUGUUGUUCAUCUGCUCAAUUGUUCGACCUGCAUGGAAACAACAAUGUUGUCAACUAGCUUUCGUGUUAGUGGUUCUUCAAGGAGGGAUCAUACUCUGUCUAAUAACUUUUUAUACUAUAAAAACUCUUAUCAUAUUCUAGAUGAUUGUUUCCAUAUACUUACACUGCGAAUGAAUCGUGGUAUAUGCGAGGAUAACUAUCAUUAGCAUGACCACCCUGCUUCCGUUCAUCAAAAGUUUCGCCAUAGAAGUGAGUCCUCUUAUUGAGAUAUUGUUUGCCUGAUGUAUCUGAGGAAG
rnacentral:lncRNA from 1 species